ACUGGCCCCGUCACCUCGAGGGCGCCCGUGCCGCUUGCCGGCGCAUGCUGGGCGUACUGGCCUCGAGUCGCUGCGGCGCUGGUGCACGUGCGCACGUGCGUGUGCCGUCUGCGCUGCGAUUCGGGGGGCCACAGAGCAAGGGGUGCGAGUGCGCGGCGUGAUGCUCGGCGCGCUCCCGCGUGCCUGACGCACCGCCGGCGCGCCGCGGUUCCCGUUACGCAUAUCCUGUGUGCGCUCCAGCCCCGUCCCCCG
rnacentral:snRNA from 1 species